GCCUCCGUGUCCUAAUGGAUAAGGCAUCGGUCUCCUAAACCGGGGAUUGCGGGUUCGAGUCCCGCCGGGGGUA
rnacentral:tRNA from 1 species